rnacentral:rRNA from 1 species
UCCGUAGGUGAACCUGCGGAAGGAUCAUUACCUAGAGUUGCGGGCUUUGCCUGCCAUCUCUUACCCAUGUCUUUUGAGUACCUUCGUUUCCUCGGUGGGUUCGCCCGCCGGUUGGACAACACUUCAACCCUUUGUAAUUGAAAUCANCGUCUGAAAAAACUUAAUAGUUACAACUUUCAACAACGGAUCUCUUGGUUCUGGCAUCGAUGAAGAACGCAGCGAAAUGCGAUAAGUAGUGUGAAUUGCAGAAUUCAGUGAAUCAUCGAAUCUUUGAACGCACAUUGCGCCCCUUGGUAUUCCAUGGGGCAUGCCUGUUCGAGCGUCAUUUGUACCUUCAAGCUCUGCUUGGUGUUGGGUGUUUGUCUCGCCUCUGCGCGCAGACUCGCCUCAAAACGAUUGGCAGCCGGCGUAUUGAUUUCGGAGCGCAGUACAUCUCGCGCUUUGCACUCACAACGACGACGUCCAAAAAGUACAUUUUUUACACUCUUGACCUCGGAUCAGGUAGGGAUACCCGCUGAACUUAAGCAUAUCAAUAAGCGGAGGA